AUCCAGCUGUCGAGUCCCAAAUAGGACGAAACGCGCAUCCUGGAU
rnacentral:hammerhead_ribozyme from 1 species